rnacentral:lncRNA from 1 species
ACAUGGUGAAAGAAGCUCAUGAUAAGAAUAUCAAAAAUUGCGGGAUCUAUUAUCAUAUGACAAUGCCUUAGAAAGCAGCAUUGUUGUUGCAACAACACCUCAACUGUAGAGAGGCAACAGAAAAUCAUCUUCUUGCAAACACAAAUCAUGUCAACUCCAUCUCAAAUGCAGGGUAAUCUUGCUAUUACACCUUCCUUCUACUUCAGAAAUAUGUUAGAAUAUCGAAUCUUCUAUUUAUUUCUUUCCUCAUACAUCAUAUAUAUGAAUAUAACAAUGGUUAUGCAUGAAAACAAUGGUAUCCGUCCAACUUGCAUGCUCUAUCAUAGGGGUGUACAAAGGAAAUCGACAAACCGCACCAACCCGAUAAUCCGAGUCAAACCGGAAAAAAAAUCCGACUAUGGUUUGGUUUGAUUUGGUUUGGUGUUGGAAAAAAAACCCGACCAUAAUUGAUUUGGUUUGGUUUUAACUAAAGAAAGUCAAACCGAAACUAAACCAACCCAACAUUACAUAUAUAAAAAUUUUAGAUUUAUUUAAUAUAUAAAUAUACUUAUUGUGAUGCAAUUUAUAAAUAUUUCUUAAAAAUUUUCAUAAUUUUAUCUUUUAAGGUCUUAUUCAAGGUUGGACUUAGAACUUUUGAAUGCUCCAAUAAGUUUUAUAUCCAUUAAUAUUAGUAAAUUAAAUAAUUCUAACAAAAGCCCAAACCAAAAUCAAAUCAAUACUAAUACUAAGAAAAGACAUUCAAUUCAAUAUUACGAACGGGAAUGUAUUAAAUAUCUAUUUUUUAUUUUGCAAUAAUUUACAUAAAAAUGCAUAACCUAUUUUAUUUUUCUUUAGCGUUUAGUCAAUUUAGUAUUUGGCUUUGUUAAUUAUUAACUACUUAUUAUUUUUCUUACAUUUUUAGAUUAUACAGCUCAGAUUUGUUCUUUAAAUAACUUGGCGUCAUUUAUAUGAUUUUUUAGUAACUAUAGCAGCUAACCUGCAUUUAAUUUCUUUAUGAUGAAAGAUUAUACUAUGGAAGUCAUCUGAUAUGUAUCGAGAUAAUGCCAGCCUAUUCUCUUCUACAAUAGUUUUAAAGCCACCAGCAGAUUGCCACAACUUAGCUUAAUGUCUUAGUUGUGAAUCAGAUAUCAGACAUACUUUUUGUUAAUGAUAGCGAGGAUGUAUAUGAAACGACAUAUGAUUUUGGAGACAAUAUGGAGGAUUACCGUGUUACCAGUAACUUAUUAGGUAAAGAUAUUAUGUGGUAAUAUACCGAUGAUAUAAUAUCUUUAACUCAUUUAAAUUUACUUUCAUUGUUCUCCUGUCUUAUUUAUGUGUCGAGGCAUGUACCUAUUGUUUUAUAUAUGUAGACCAUUUUAUGUGCGUAGCUGAUUUGGAUAUUUAUAGUGGUAAUAUAAAGAAUGACUCUAUAUAGUUUAUAUAAAAUCAUAUACUGUGAGAAAUUUAGUUGAGUGAAGAAAAAGGAAAAAACGUACACGUAAAUUUUCUUUUAAUCAAAUUCUUGGUGUGGCAUUGAACACCAUGAUAUUGAAUGGGGCUUUGGCUACUAGAUCCCAAGAAGAAGAAGAAAAAUUAACUAGAGUUGUGGCUGAGAAGUUAUUUAUAUAUACGUCAAAAAUGGUCUUUUAUUUUUGAUAUUCAUCGAUAAUUUACAGCACGAUAGAUAUUGCUACAAUGUAAAAUAUAUUAAAUUGCCUAAAGGAAAAUAUAUUUACCUUUUUUAACUUCAUAUGUUGUUUUAUUUUGUUCUUAAAAUCCCUUGUUUAGUUAAACUAUAUUGAUUUAUUUUGGAAGUGUGUUUAUGAUAAGAAUUGCAUAUUUCUUAAUACCUAACCUUUUAGUUCUCAUUUUUUAUGAGCAGAUUCCUAGAUAUUGCUCAGAAUGCAUUGGCCAUUAAUUUUAUUUUAUUUUCCUUUCCCUUGUCCACCUUUUCCUUUUUCUCUAGGAGUUCCUUGUGUGGAUGAUCUUUUAUCAAAGUUGGAUUCUCUUUUUCAUGCAGGUGGUUGGAACAUUGUCCUUAUUGCUUGCUCAAUCUCCCAAGCUACACAAAUACUGGUCUUACACUUGCUCACGAUGUUUAUUGUAGUUGGUAAAUAUCUUAAUUAUGAUAUUUACUUGCUUUUGUUUGCCCUCUAACAUACUAUUGAUAUGCCUAUCACCUUUAUUGAGUUCAAAAUUGAGUAGUGUGCAGUUAAUAGUAGUAAUCACAAUAAAACAGUCAUAUAUUCUUCGACGGAGAUAUAAUUUCUAAAUUUUACUGUUGUAAAUACAUAAAAAGUUAUGGUGACCAUGAGUUUUUUCAUUUUUUUUAUAUUUUGUUGUUUAUAUGUGUAUCAUUUUCUCAUUUUAUGACUUAUGAUCUUUAACUAUGUUUCUCUUCAUAGUUUGAGCGUAUAAUCAUAGUUACUUCAUCGUAGAUGAUCUCUUCGUCAAAUUACUUAGGUUUUUCUUUCAAGCGUUCUUCUUUUCUAAUCUUCAGCUUAGGCUUUGUUUGUAGAGUGAAGAAAUAUAUGUACUUUCUGGCAAUUAGGGGAAUUGCAUUUGCUUCGCUUCAUCGGAACGACAUAUAAUUUCAUAAAUUCUACUUACAGUCUUUAGAGUCAGAGGCGGAUCCAGGAUGUUUGAAGGAUGGAUUCAUUAUUACUUUUUUAAAAAAAAAUUAAACCAAAAAGUUGGUAAGGGAUUUGAUCCCCUGACCUUAGGCUAUUAGAAAUAAGAGACCAAAACCAGUGCACCACUUAGUCUCUUUUGAUCAUGGGUUCCAUCAAGUAUAUAUAUCUAUAUUUUUCAAAUUAUGUACAUCAUAUCCAUACUUUAACUCGAGGACCACGGGUUCACGUGAACCAUGUUUCACAUGGUAGAUCCGCCUCUGUUUAGAGUUAUAAUUUGCUUUCAAUUUGAUCAAGUAAAAUUUAUUCCCUUUGGUUGAUUAAAAUUUUAUAAUCUUUAUUCAAAAAAAUUAUAUUUUAUACUGGAAAAAUAUUAUAAGGUGUAAUUACCCUAUAAGAGAAUAGACUCCCAGACAUACACAUGUGAAAAUUUUACCUUUUUAAGUACUGAUUUAUUUCUCCUCUGUCCUAUUUAAAGUCCUUUUUGUAAGAAGUUUUUUUCUCCCUCUCUGAUGCUUGCAUUGUAAUUUAUGUUUAUGUUCAGAAUCUCACUAUUCCUUAUAUUUGUGUUACUUAAAUAUUUAAUCAAAAAAAUAAAUUCUCAUAGCAUAUAUUAUUAGCUUCUUUAAUAUUUUAAUUCCUGAGUUUCCACUACUAAGGUUUUCCUCCUCCAAUUUCUUCGCCCUCUCUUUAGUGAUUUUGUCGGUUCAUUACUUUAGUAUUUUUCUGUUGUCUUUGAAUUUCUUUUUAGGAUGGUGGACAACGGGAUCGAUCUCUCAUUCGUGAUACUUAUCCGUUCAAAGUGUGAGGAAGAUCGAUGGAGUUGAAUGCGACCACUCUAAGAAAAGAUUUAGUACUUUAAUUUGUCCGUGAUUGUUUUGAGUAUUAUUUAGCUUAUGCAAACUCCUUUCGCUCUCCGUUGUAUCUGUGUUGAUUCGCGACUUUUGCCUUUGCAUUAUUCUUCUUAUAAUAUAGCUAAUGACCCGAAGAUUUAGAAAUUGCCUUUCCUCUAUUCUGAUCCAUCUCCUACUAAUAAAUUUUCUUGGCGUUAAGUGUUUAUCAUUCGGAAAAUCUACUCAAAC